rnacentral:rRNA from 1 species
GAUGAACGCUGGCGGCGUGCUUAACACAUGCAAGUCGAACGAAGCACUUCAUAAAGUUUACUUUAAGAAGUGACUUAGUGGCGGACGGGUGAGUAACGCGUGGGUAACCUGCCUUACACAGGGGGAUAACAGUUAGAAAUGACUGCUAAUACCGCAUAAAACAGCAGAGUCGCAUGACUCAACUGUCAAAGAUUUAUCGGUGUAAGAUGGACCCGCGUCUGAUUAGCUGGUUGGUGGGGUAACGGCCUACCAAGGCGACGAUCAGUAGCCGGCCUGAGAGGGUGAACGGCCACAUUGGGACUGAGACACGGCCCAAACUCCUACGGGAGGCAGCAGUGGGGAAUAUUGGACAAUGGGCGAAAGCCUGAUCCAGCGACGCCGCGUGAGCGAUGAAGUAUUUCGGUAUGUAAAGCUCUAUCAGCAGGGAAGAAAACGACGGUACCUGACU